UUGGGCCCUUAACUCACCUACUAUGCACUAGAUAGAAUUCUACACAAUAUCAAUAUCAACAUCAAUAAUCAAAUGGCUAAUAUGAUAUAGACUUAAUCGAGUAGACCAUCCUUCUGUGACCACUUGAUGUACAUCCCCUAACUGUCCCUAUGAUCAGUCAAGAAGCAUCGCACUACGGCCCCCAUAAUUAUAAUAUCACAAAGGCACAAUCAAGUGGUCUGUCCUUUCGUGAGCACCAAAGGAUGGACUACUUGCCCACUUUAUCUAAAACAAUGAAGUUCGCUGGAA
rnacentral:lncRNA from 1 species